UACGGGGGGGGCGAGCGUUGUUCGGAAUUACUGGGCGUAAAGGGCGCGCAGGCGGCUCUGAAAGUCAGAUGUGAAAGCCCCGGGCUUAACCUGGGAAUUGCAUUUGAUACUCUGGAGCUUGAGUACGGGAGAGGAGAGUGGAAUUCCCAGUGUAGAGGUGAAAUUCGUAGAUAUUGGGAAGAACACCGGUGGCGAAGGCGGCUCUCUGGACCGUAACUGACGCUGAGGCGCGAAAGCGUGGGGAGCAAACAGG
rnacentral:rRNA from 1 species